CUGUCCUCAGUCCCGGGUCGUCUCUGCGCGGUUCCGAGCGGUCGCUCCCUCGCGAGGUGCCGCGGGUCAGCGGCUGACGCCAGCCACCUUCCCGACCCGUCUUGAAACACGGACCAAGGAGUCUAACAUGUGCGCGAGCCGCGGGGCAGUACGAAACCCGUAAGGCGAAAUGAAGGUGAACGCCGGCGCGGUCCGGCGGAGGUUGGAUCCCGUCCCGUCGGGGCGGGCGCACUACCGGCCGAUCUUCUCCGCCCUGUCGGCGAGGUCGAGCGAGAGCGUGCAAGUCGGGACCCGAAAGAUGGUGAACUAUGCCUGAGGAGGUUGAAGCCAGAGGAAACUCUGGUGGAGGACCGUAGCGAUUCUGACGUGCAAAUCGAUCGUCAAAUUUGGGUAUAGGGGCGAAAGACUAAUCGAACCGUCUAGUAGCUGGUUCCCUUCGAAGUUUCCCUCAGGAUAGCUGGCGCUCUGUCGCAGUUUUAUCUGGUAAAGCGAAUGAUUAGAGGUCUUGGGGGCGAAACGCCCUCAACCUAUUCUCAAACUUUAAAUUGGUAAGAAGCCCGACUCGCUCGUUUGGAGCCGGGCAUGGAAUGCGAGUGCCAAGUGGGCCACUCUUGGUAAGCAGGACUGGCGAUGCGGGAUGAACCGAACGCCGGGUUAAGGCGCCCGACGCGACGCUCAUCAGAGCCCACAAAAGGUGUUGGUUGAUAUAGACAGCAGGACGGUGGCCAUGGAAGUCAGAAACCGCUAAGGAGUGUGUAACAACUCAC
rnacentral:ncRNA from 1 species